rnacentral:tRNA from 1 species
GCGGGUGUAGCCAAGGGGUUAAGGCAGAGGUUUGUGGUACCUCCAUUCGUGGGUUCAAGUCCCAUCAUCCGCC